rnacentral:rRNA from 1 species
AACGAACGCUGGCGGCAGGCUUAACACAUGCAAGUCGAACGCCCCGCAAGGGGAGUGGCAGACGGGUGAGUAACGCGUGGGAAUCUACCUAGUUCUACGGAACAACAGAGGGAAACUUCUGCUAAUACCGUAUACGCCCUACGGGGGAAAGAUUUAUCAGAAUUAGAUGAGCCCGCGUAAGAUUAGCUAGUUGGUGGGGU